CAGUCUGAUGGAGCAACGCCGCGUGAGUGAAGAAGGCUUUCGGGUCGUAAAACUCUGUUGUUGGAGAAGAAUGGUCGGCAGAGUAACUGUUGUCGGCGUGACGGUAUCCAACCAGAAAGCCACGGCUAACUACGUGCCAGCAGCCGCGGUAAUACGUAGGUGGCAAGCGUUAUCCGGAUUUAUUGGGCGUAAAGCGAGCGCAGGCGGUUUUUUAAGUCUGAUGUGAAAGCCCUCGGCUUAACCGAGGAAGUGCAUCGGAAACUGGGAAACUUGAGUGCAGAAGAGGACAGUGGAACUCCAUGUGUAGCGGUGAAAUGCGUAGAUAUAUGGAAGAACACCAGUGGCGAAGGCGGCUGUCUGGUCUGUAACUGACGCUGAGGCUCGAAAGCAUGGGUAGCGAACAGGAUUAGAUACC
rnacentral:rRNA from 1 species